UUCUCUUCUUGUCACAAUUCAAAAUAUGCCUUUCUCCAUUUGUUUCCACUCUCACAAUUUAAUGUGCCCCUCCUAUUUUUUGCUUGGUCGUUGGCAAAUUAAAUGCCACCUUAUUUAAGGCUCUGCAUCUCUCUGUCUCUGUCCACGGUACCCCUCUCUCUUCCAUUAUAUUUUAAGAAUCUCACAGGACACUAUAGUUACUUCUAGGGAACAUAAUACUACUACCUUCUUCAUCAAACUUUCCAACUAUUAUGUUUUCUGGUGAUGGAUAUAUAGGAGUGUUACCAUAGGGAUUUGGUGUUCAUCAUGCUUGCUACUUUGCGGUGACCACCUUAUUAGCAUGUUUUGUUGUGUCUCCGAAAAGCGGGUGGUAGGGACUUCAUUAGAGGCGGAUCAAGUUGCAAGUGGCAAUUGGCAAAGAUAAAUCUUUCUUUACUUUUACUUUGCUUCUAUUUAAAGGUUCAUCUUUUUGUUUUUUUGACAAUAUUGUAGCUGAUAAUGUCCCAUCUUUCUCUUGCUUUUAAAUUUAAUUGUUUUACAUUAUUUAAAGGUGUGAACUCUGUUUCGGUUCUCCAAACAAAUAUUUUUGAUUCCACAAUAAAAGGUUAGAUCAAAUUCUGAUUAAUUUGGUUUAUGUACCUCUGACUACAAUAAUUCCUUAGCAGUUAGCAGUACUGUACGUACCAAGAUAUUAAUUCAAAUAAUCUUCUUGAUGAUACAAAUUGUAAUCCUCUCCUAGUUAUCUGUUUGUAAUAUUCUUCCUUUGGAUUAACAAAAUUGUUUACAUUCAUUUUUCUUCUACAAUAAUAGAUAUUCAAGUACUAAAAACAUUCAUAUAAAAAAUCUAGACCUUCCUUAAUAAGCUUUCAAGAUGAAAAAACAAAGUCAUUUUAAUAUUAAAAAUAUAAUUAUGAAAUGAAUCUAUCAUUUUAUUCAAUCUCUCACACUACCCUUUAGACAAGUUUAAAUGACAUUUUGUUUGAUAUAUUUUAGGUGUUGUAUCUUAUCCUAGGUUUAUACGGCUAGGCCUAAUUUAACCAAAUCCAAUUUGACGGGGGCAAUUGCUUCCUUCAUCCACAUUUUUGCUUUCUGCACCUUAUAGAGGACAAUAAUACUUGUUACUCUAAUGUGCACCCAAUUGCUGCAGCAACAACCCCUUUCCCCAUGGCAUCAGCACCCUUGCACCACCACCGCAACCCCUUUAACCCCAUGGCGGCAGCGACAACCCCGUCAAAAUGCAAUGGAGCAAUAUUACCAUCCUUUAUUAUGGAACGGAUAUUCCAAAAGUGUAUAGAUAUUUCUUAAUAGGAUUUUUUAUAUUUUGGAAUAGUUAUUUUGACAUACCUAUACAUUUCAUAUAAAAUCUUAUUCCAAAAUAACUCUUCUGUAUAGAUAUUUCGAAAUAACUAUUGUAGAAUAUAAAAAAUCUGAUUCUGGAAUAGCAUGUUUAGAUAUUUUAAAUAUCUU